rnacentral:rRNA from 1 species
AUUGAACGCUGGCGGCAGGCUUAACACAUGCAAGUCGAACGGUAGCAGGAGAAAGCUUGCUUUCUUGCUGACGAGUGGCGGACGGGUGAGUAAUGCUUGGGAAUCUGGCUUAUGGAGGGGGAUAACUACGGGAAACUGUAGCUAAUACCGCGUAAUAUCGAAAGAUUAAAGUGUGGGACCUUCGGGCCACAUGCCAUAAGAUGAGCCCAAGUGGGAUUAGGUAGUUGGUGGGGUAAAGGCCUACCUAGCCGACCAUCUCUUCCUGGUCUGAGAGGAUGACCUGCCUCACUGUAACUGUGACACGGUCCAGUCUCCUACGGGAGGGAUUUUGGUGAAUUUUUUUUCUUU